CACAUCGACCAGAGGUCGCGCUCAACAAGAGUAGCAAUCAUUAGCCAGAAAGAGGCGUUAAGUGAUUUGCAAAAGGGGAGAGCGCCGAAGUUUGUAGGUUAUUCUUUCUAGCUUACAAGCUGGGACUUGGCUUAAUAAGCCAAGGACUGUCGCAGCAAUUUUGGCAAUUUGCUGCGGAGUGCUAUCGACAUG
rfam:Gardnerella vaginalis ATCC 14019, complete genome.